GACGAACGCUGGCGGCGUGCUUAACACAUGCAAGUCGAACGGAAAGGCCCUGCUUUUGUGGGGUGCUCGAGUGGCGAACGGGUGAGUAACACGUGAGUAACCUGCCCUGGACUUUGGGAUAACUUCAGGCAACUGGGGCUAAUACCGGCUAGGAGCUCCUGCUGCAUGGGGGGGGUUGGAAAGCUUAGGCGGAUGUGGAUGGACGCGCGGCUUAUCAGCUUGUUGGUGGGGUAGUGGCUUACCAAGGCAUUGACGGGUAGCCGGCCUGAGAGGGUGACCGGCCACAUUAGGACUGAGAUACGGACCAGACUCCUACGGGAGGCAGCAGUGGGGAAUAUUGCACAAUGGGCGGAAGCCUGAUGCAGCAACGCCGCGUGCGGGAUGACGGCCUUCGGGUUGUAAACCGCUUUCGCCUGUGACGAAGCGUGAGUGACGGUAAUGGGUAAAGAAGCACCGGCUAACUACGUG
rnacentral:rRNA from 1 species